GACGGAGGAUGCAAGCGUUAUCCGGAAUGAUUGGGCGUAAAGCGUCCGCAGGUGGCAGUUCAAGUCUGCUGUCAAAGACCGGGGCUUAACUUCGGAAAGGCAGUGGAAACUGAACAGCUAGAGUAUGGUAGGGGCAGAGGGAAUUCCUGGUGUAGCGGUGAAAUGCGUAGAUAUCAGGAAGAACAUCGGCGGCGAAGGCGCUCUGCUGGACCAUAACUGACACUCAGGGACGAAAGCUAGGGGAGCGAAUGGG
rnacentral:rRNA from 1 species